rnacentral:rRNA from 1 species
CAGCCGCCGCGGUAAUACCGGCGGCCCGAGUGGCGGUCACUAUUAUUUGGCUUAAAGCGUCCGUAGCCGGGUUGGGAAGUCCUCCGGGAAAUCUGGCCGCUUAACGGUCAGAAUGCCGGAGGAUACUCCCAGCCUAGGGGGCGGGAGAGGCCGAGGGUAUUCCCGGAGUAGGGGUGAAAUCCUAUAAUCCCGGGAGGACCACCUGUGGCGAAGGCGCUCGGCUGGAACGCGUCCGACGGUGAGGGACGAAGGCCAGGGGAGCAAACCGGAUUAGAUACCCGGGUAGUCCUGGCUGUAAACGAUGCGGACUUUGUGUCGGACAAGCUAUGAGCUUGUCCGGUGCCGGAGGGAAACCGUUAAGUCCGCCGCCUGGGGAGUACGGCCGCAAGGCUGAAACUUAAAGGAAUUGGCGGG